rnacentral:rRNA from 1 species
UACGUAGGGUGCAAGCGUUGUCCGGAAUUAUUGGGCGUAAAGAGCUCGUAGGUGGCCUGUCGCGUCGGCUGUGAAAACUCGGGGCUCAACUCCGAGCUUGCAGUCGAGACGGGCAGGCUAGAGUUCGGCAGGGGAGACUGGAAUUCCUGGUGUAGCGGUGAAAUGCGCAGAUAUCAGGAGGAACACCGGUGGCGAAGGCGGGUCUCUGGGCCGAUACUGACACUGAGGAGCGAAAGCGUGGGGAGCGAACAGG